GAAAUAAACCUGAUAGGUUGUUGCUGGCUUCCUAGCAUGUGCACACCUUGUCAUCUUUAUAUCUCCACCUGUGCAUCUUUUGUAGACCUUUCAGGUCUAUGUUUCUUCAUUUACCCCAAUGUAUGUUAAUAGAAUGUUGUGACUAUAUAAAAUCUAUACAACUUUCAGCAACGGAUCUCUUGGCUCU
rnacentral:misc_RNA from 1 species